GAAAUGCGAUAAUUAAUGUGAAUUGCAGAAUUCAGUGAAUCAUCGAGUCUUUGAACGCACAUUGCGCCCCCUGGUAUUCCGGGGGGCAUGCCUGUCCGAGCGUCAUUGCUGCCCUCAAGCACGGCUUGUGUGUUGGGCUUCCGUCCCUGGCAACGGGGACGGGCCCAAAAGGCAGUGGCGGCACCAUGUCUGGUCCUCGAGCGUAUGGGGCUUUGUCACCCGCUCCCUUAGGUCCAGCUGGCAGCUAGCCUCGCAACCAAUCUUUUUAACCAGGUUGACCUCGGAUCAGGUAGGGAUACCCGCUGAACUUAAGC
rnacentral:misc_RNA from 1 species